GGGGCUGGACAGCCUGGGCAGCUGCAGGUCCCAUCCAACGCUUUUGCAAGGUCUUUGCUGGGCUGCACUGUUAAGAAGAUUUGGUGGAAAAGGACAGACUACUCAUCCCAUUGAUUAUUAAGUUUGUUAUAAAAGACUAGAAAACUUGGCACUCAUUGGAGUACUACCCACCUGUAAUACGGACGCGUAUUGCUGGUUCUGCUGAUUCCCAGUAAGAGAGGGUCCUCUUCAAACCUGACUGCCAGAAGUUCUCUCAGUCGAGUGCAGCAAGCUUCUCUUAUGGUGAUGUAUACUUAAGCUGUUUCUUUAAGCUUAAUAUUAAGCUGUUUCCUUAAGCUG